rnacentral:misc_RNA from 1 species
UUUCCGUAGGUGAACCUGCGGAAGGAUCAUUGUCGAAACCUGCCCGGCAGAACGACCCGCGAACUUGUAUAAACAACCGGGGGCGGGGGGCGUUCUCGCCCCGUGCCCCCGAACGGCGGGGAGACACUCGUGCCUUCUUGCCGAACAACGAACCCCGGCGCGGUCUGCGCCAAGGAACUUCAACUAAAGAGUGCCUCCGGUCGCCUCGGAAACGGCGUGCGUGCCGGGGGCGAAUCUUGUGCAAAACCAUAACGACUCUCGGCAACGGAUAUCUCGGCUCUC